rnacentral:rRNA from 1 species
GGGGAAUAUUGGGCAAUGGGCGCAAGCCUGACCCAGCAACGCCGCGUGAAGGAAGAAGGCUUUCGGGUUGUAAACUUCUUUUGUCAGGGACGAAAAAAAUGACGGUACCUGACGAAUAAGCCACGGCUAACUACGUGCCAGCAGCCGCGGUAAUACGUAGGUGGCAAGCGUUAUCCGGAUUUACUGGGUGUAAAGGGCGUGUAGGCGGGAAAGCAAGUCAGAUGUGAAAACUAUGGGCUCAACCCAUAGCCUGCAUUUGAAACUGUUUUUCUUGAGUGUCGGAGAGGUAAUCGGAAUUCCGUGUGUAGCGGUGAAAUGCGUAGAUAUACGGAGGAACACCAGUGGCGAAGGCGGAUUACUGGACGAUAACUGACGCUGAGGCGCGAAAGCGUGGGGAGCAAACA